rnacentral:rRNA from 1 species
AUGCGAAAGAAUCACUUUGGCCCCAUAAUUUGGACAUGUGUUUCAGAUGACUUUGACACAAAAAGGUUAACGAAAGCGAUUUUAGAGGGCUUCGGAGGAGAUGCAUCAUCUGAUAAUCUGAAUGUUCUUAUGGGUAAACUAGAAGGUCGUGCCAAGUCCAAUAAGUUUUUGCUUGUCCUUGAUGACAUGUGGGAUGAUAUCUUGAAGCAUGACGCGGCAGGGUGGAAGAGCUUGUGUGAAUGUUUGAAAAGUGGCGCUGAAGGGAGUAGGAUUUUGGUCACCACUAGAUUUCGUGAGGUUGCUGAGCUAGUUGGCCCAAUGAAUAAUUAUGAGUUAAAUGGCUUAGAACCAAAGGUAUUCUGGGAUUUCUUCAAAUCCUGUGCAUUUGGAUCCACGAGUUCUUGCAACGACCAGGUGUCAUUGGAGUUGGAGUGCGUUGCUAAAGACAUUGUUCCAAAAUUGAAGGGUUCCCCAUUAGCUGCCAAGACUAUUGGCCGCUUGCUGGGAAUGGAGCUAAGUACAACACACUGGGAAAAUAUAAAGGAAAGUGAACUAUGGCAAUUAAAACAAAAAGAUACUGACAUUCUGCCAGCCCUUCGACUGAGCUAUAUGUACCUACCGCAGAAACUGAGGAAAUGCUUCUCAAUCUGUGCAAUGUUUCCCAAGGAUCACAAAUUUGGGAAGGAUUUUCUGGCUGAUAUUUGGAUUGCACACGGAUAUGUCGAGGGGCCCCAAGAAGCAUCAGUGUCCUUUGAUGCCCUUGCAAAUCGUUCAUUCUUUCAGAAAGCAUCACCACAGAGUGUUAAGUACUAUGUAAUUCAUGAUCUGAUGCAUGAUACAGCACAGCUAGUCUCAAAGGGUGAGUGCUUCUUUAUCAAGCAUGCUAGUGACCUAGAUAAAGUUCCUUCAAAUGUCCGUCAUCUGUCAAUAUUCACAAACGGAAAUGUUCAGUGUUCUGAAUUAAAGAGCCUAUGUGACAAGAAAUAUUUGAGCCCUGGUAUGCGAUGA